rnacentral:rRNA from 1 species
CCUACGGGUGGCAGCAGUGAGGAAUAUUGGUCAAUGGACGAGAGUCUGAACCAGCCAAGUCGCGUGAAGGACGACUGCCCUAUGGGUUGUAAACUUCUUUUAUAUGGGAAUAAAAUGUUCCACGUGUGGGCUUUUGUAUGUACCAUAUGAAUAAGGCUCGGCUAACUCCGUUCCAGCAGCCGCGGUAAUACGGAGGAUCCGAGCGUUAUCCGGAUUUAUUGGGUUUAAAGGGAGCGGAGGGGGAUUGUUAAGUCAGUUGUGAAAGUUUGGGGCUCAACCGUGAAAUUGCAGUUGAAACUGGCAGUCUUGAGUAAAGUAGAGGUGGGCGGAAUGCGUGGUGUAGCGGUGAAAUGCUUAGAUAUCACGAAGAACUCCGAUUGCGAAGGCAGCUCACUGGACUGCAACUGACACUGAGGCACGAAAGUGUGGGUAUCAAACAGGAUUAGAUACCCUUGUAGUC